AGAAGGGUGGUUUAGUGAACUGGGUUGAACACUCAUUUUAAGAACUGCAGCCUGGGGUUGUUGGUAAUUACCUAUCCUAUGGUCAAUUUGCUGAUAUCAAUGAUCUUAACAGGUGCACACUAAGAGCCUUCUCACUGAUGAAAGCAUCUCUGAUCUCUAUGCAGACAUCAUCUCCUACUUUCCAUCCACUACACUUUUUCGAGACUGUGGCAUUUUGCACAUUGUCAGGUAGUCAUGUGCAUGGAUUCUUGAACUAUAAGAUGACAUUUACCAAGAAUCCAAUGUCAAUGAUCUUAUGUAUACAAGAUU
rnacentral:lncRNA from 1 species